AAUAACGUGGAAUUGUGGAAACAGUGUAGCUGACAGAAGACGAAACGGAUGAGGUUGUUGUCGAUCAAAGGGUGGCGUUGUAAAUACGUUAAGUCAUAACUUUACAUUGAUCUGUUGGACAGUAUACCUAAUUUAUUAUGGGAAAUAAUUACGCUAGUCGUUAGAAAUGAUUACUUAUUUAAAAUCCUGAAUUGACAGUGAUGUAGAUGUUUUCUAGCUAACGUUAGGUAAUCUACGAGUAGCCUUCUGGUCAGUUUAGUUAAAGUGGUAACUAGUUUACUAACAUCACUGGGUCAUGAGAUUCUGCUGGUUUACUGGAACAAGGAAGAAAACUGGGCCAGGAAGAGCUGGGCCAGCUAGCUUUCUGUUGUAUAUACUGUAGUGGCUGUUGGCGGCCAUGGGGGGGCAGCAUGGUGCCAACUCGCACGUGUUCUACGUCGUGGAGAUGGACAGAGCGAGCAGGGCAGCCGGAGUGUUGGUGAAACAUCACGGACUGCAGUUCAUCUCAUGGUAUUGUCAGAUGUAACAGCUCUGGGGUGGCCGCCAGGCUACACACUGAAACCCUGGAUGAUUGACAGCACUGAUUAGGAGGAACCUUUCCCUCUGAUCGCACAAAGGUGGCGCGGCAGACCGGCGGCGCUGUGGGUUUUUUUUAAGCCCCGCCCACAGGUCACCAGCUGAAGGGGACGGUCAGCGUGACCCGGACAGACGCAGGAACGGACGGGCGGAGGACCAGACAGACACAGCCCGCGUUCCUGCACCGCCGCAUCGCAUGCCGCAUCCACUCCGCAUCCACUCCGCAGUGCUCAUCAGCACAUAAUUGCACAGCCCGAUUAAUUAUCACUUCCCGGAGAAAACCGGGGUUUUUUAUUUUCAAUUUAAAAUAUAUGUGUGAAUUACAGUGACUUGCAGCUCUCCCCCGUUUCAUUUGUUUAAUAAUUAUAUGGCGAGCUUUCAAAAUCACAAGCUCCCUAUAAAAGGUGUCUUGCUGACUCUAAAUGCGGAGAAACAUUUUUGUGUGGUGAUGGAAGUGCCUCCCCUGGCACAGCGCUUUGUGUUUUUUUCCUUCUGAUGGCAGAGUUUCGUUUUUUGUUUUUAGUCUUAGGCCCGUGUAUUUUAUAAUAUCAAACAUUCUUAAAACAUUAAUUAUUUUUUAGCCUUUAAGGACCUUGCACCCGUGGAUGUCUCACACAUACAGAAUUACUGAGAAAAUUGGAUACAAAUAUAGCCUGCAUGUAAUACCUGACGUAAAUGAGUGUGUAAGCUUUGGUCUGUGCCUCACAAUGGCACAAUGGGCCUGGGGAUCAAAGCUGACGCUGUUUCAUAUGGAAAUGACAGUGAUUUUUAAAAGCCCACCUUCAGGUUUUGAAAACAAUUUCUGUGAAAUACGUUUCAUGCGCUAUUCAGAAGAUGUAUACACCUACUGUUGCAUUUCUGGCUAAGUCAAAGUCAUGCUUUUUUUUAAAGCAGGUAUUCAGACCCACCUUGUGCACCCGCUUAUCUCCCAUAUUGAGAAGCUCUUCCAUAUGGUGGAAAAUGUUAGUUUGCUCAGGCUAAGCACAUGCCCACGGGUGGACAAAAAACGCUGGUGAGGGAAUUACACUUAGACUGCACUCCUAGUAUCUCUGACUCCUCUAAGCACUGAUGAGACUUUAAUUAGGAACAACUGAAAUGAAAGCACUUCUGAAAUGAAGAGGUUUCUGUGAAAUUUCUGGGACCUUUAGUCCUUACUGUAAAGCUGACUGUAACCCUGACUACAGUGUAUAUUAACAAUACUCAAAUUGAUUGAUUUACAGCUCAUGAUUUGUUUUUAUUUGACCAAGUGUAUUCGGGGAAGGCCUGUCUGUUGAAAAAAUAGAUCAUUUAAAUAACGAAUAUAAUAAAUAUAUGACCAAUAAAUGCCACAAAUGCUGCUUUGAAAAGCAGGCUUCAACAUGUGUGUAGUUUAAAUACACAAAUGUCCACAUAAAUGCAACAUUUAUAGCUAUUUUGAUGUGACACAAUAGUUCAACAACUGGCUCAUAUCUAAAACAAUGUUAAGCAUGUUUUUUUGGUAAGCAUUAAGCAUUUAUGUGACAGAUAUAUAAACUUGAUUUAAUAUUGAAGGAAAAUACUUCUCUUUGAAAUACACGUCUUACAAUUACAUUUUUUUUUCUUUUCCGUUCUUUUAGGUUUACUGAAGCUUUGCUUAAUAGUUGCUUUCCUUGAAUUAUCCUGAGAUUCUAGAGCAGAAUGAUACAAUUCCAGUGGUUUCUAAAGGAUUUGCCCAUUAAUCCUCCAUCUGUUCUUUUUCUUUUUUCUUUUCAAAAAUGUGAUGAUUUAUUUCUGCCUGCUCAUUGAGAUUCACUCACUUUCUUCUGUUUUAUUUUCAUUAAAAAUCUGUUAAGAAAUGAGAUCACAAAACUAUACUGUCAGUAAGAGCUCUAAUCUCUGAGCCCCAUUAGGCUGGUGAACUGUAGCUUGCCAGCAUUUUCAAGUCUGGGGUUGCGUUGUGUUAACCACUUGGUGUUUAACAUCAGCAUUAUGCUUAAAUGUCAAAUAACGGAGUCUGUUAGGAACACACAGAAGGAUGUAGGGUAUGUAUGGAUUUUAUUUUAUUGAGAUCCUGACCCAUACUCAGAGUUUCAAAACCAUGUCUUUUCAUCUCAGUACCUGCAGAUUGUUUAUUGUUUGGAUGACCAAAAGAUGACGAAUGAACCGAGGUUGAAAUAUUUCUAAAAAGUUUCUCGUUUUACUGGACCGUUUACCGCAUAGUGUAACUUUACGUCAUGAAGACGUUUGCAGCGGACAAAGGAGGUCUAGUCUGUCACUUGAUUACCGUGUUAUCAAACCGGUUGUUUCAAGGGGCCUCGUUCUUCUGAUAAUAAAUGUUAUUAGAUUGUGUGACUUUGCUUAAUGGUUAUUUCUGCGCUCAAAGUGUGUCAGACGCUGAGCCACCUGUGUUUCGCGUUACGCUAAUGGGGCUUAAAUUAAAUUGGUCACAGAUUGAAAAGAGAACUUUAAAUGUAGCACAGCUGAAAUGAUUAAUAAUCGUGCACCCAGAGGCGUGUGUGAUC